GUUGAUUUGCCCCCCUUCUUCGAGCUUUUCGGCUUUUGCCGGGUUUCAACAGAGUGUGAACCGCUCGACCAACACUAAACAAUACACAGGGCAAUU
rfam:Legionella pneumophila 2300/99 Alcoy, complete genome.